GAUGAACGCUGGCGGCGUGCCUAAUACAUGCAAGUCGAGCGAACAGAUGAGGAGCUUGCUCCUCUGACGUUAGCGGCGGACGGGUGAGUAACACGUGGAUAACCUACCUAUAAGACUGGGAUAACUUCGGGAAACCGGAGCUAAUACCGGAUAAUAUAUUGAACCGCAUGGUUCAAUAGUGAAAGACGGUUUUGCUGUCACUUAUAGAUGGAUCCGCGCCGCAUUAGCUAGUUGGUAAGGUAACGGCUUACCAAGGCAACGAUGCGUAGCCGACCUGAGAGGGUGAUCGGCCACCCGGGAACUGAGACACGGUCCAGACUCCUACGGGAGGCAGCAGUAGGGAAUCUUCCGCAAUGGGCGAAAGCCUGACGGAGCAACGCCGCGUGAGUGAUGAAGGUCUUCGGAUCGUAAAACUCUGUUAUUAGGGAAGAACAAAUGUGUAAGUAACUAUGCACGUCUUGACGGUACCUAAUCAGAAAGCCACGGCUAACUACGUG
rnacentral:rRNA from 1 species